rnacentral:rRNA from 1 species
CCAAUAGCGUAUAUUAAAGUUGUUGCAGUUAAAAAGCUCGUAGUUGGAUUUCGGGGUUAGUAAGUUGGUCAUGCCUUCGGUAUGUACUGGCUUUACUGAUUCCUCCUUCUUGACGAACUGUAAUGUCAUUAAUUUGGUGUUGUAGGAAAUCAGGACUGUUACUUUGAAAAAAUUAGAGUGUUUAAAGCAGGCUUACGCUUGAAUACAUUAGCAUGGAAUAAUGGAAUAGGACGUUAAUUCUAUUUUGUUGGUUUCUAGGAUCGACGUAGUGAUUAAUAGGGGUGGUUGGGGGCAUUAGUAUUCAAUUGUCAGAGGUGAAAUUCCUGGAUUUAUUGAAGACUAACUACUGCGAAAGCAUUUACCAAGGAAGUUUUCAUGAAUCAAGAACGAAAGUUAGGGGAUCAAGACGAUCAGAUACCGUCGUAGUCUAACCAUAAAUUAUCCGACUAGGGAUCGGAUGAUGUUAAUUUCUUAAUGACUCG